CUCUCUAGUGACCGAUAGUGAACCAGUACCGUGAGGGAAAGGUGAAAAGCACCCCGGAAGGGGAGUGAAAUAGAACCUGAAACCGUGUGCUUACAAGUAGUCAGAGCCCGUUAAUGGGUGAUGGCGUGCCUUUUGUAGAAUGAACCGGCGAGUUACGAUUUGAUGCAAGGUUAAGCAGUAAAUGUGGAGCCGUAGCGAAAGCGAGUCUGAAUAGGGCGUUUAGUAUUUGGUCGUAGACCCGAAACCAGGUGAUCUACCCUUGGUCAGGUUGAAGUUCAGGUAACACUGAAUGGAGGACCGAACGAACUUACGUU
rnacentral:rRNA from 1 species